GUGGCCAAGAGCUGCUAAAUAAUUAAUCAAUAGAGCAGUGUGGCAGUUUGAAAUGUAAAUGUGAUGGAUGAAGGUGUGAUGCUUGUCAUCAAGCAGAAAAUGAUGUGACUGGAAUGGAUAACCCGCGGUACCUGCUGACUGGCAAAAGCUUGGACACAAAGAUAAAGUAAAGCCAUCAGAAAGCAGCCCCGGCAACCCCUAAUUCUUGACUUUGACCAACAAUUCACUUUCAUGUCCCUGUCCCAGAAGAGAUGUUUAAAAAAAUGAUGAAGAGAGAUCUUGGGGUGGGAAAGGGGAGAAAAAAAAAACAUCUGAAGAAAUGCUACCUGACAAGGCUGCGGGCUACAUUCUUGAGAACACCUUUCUUUUCUUUAUGUUCUCCUUCUUCUGUUAAAUAAAAAUGCAGCUCCUUUUUUCCCUCUCCUUUCUUCCAAAACUCUCCCGAGCCGUUCCUGCAAGUGGUUCUGUGACUCGGAAGCUGACAACAGCCGCAUGCAAAGGAACAAAGCACGAUAGUGACAAUUCAGAGUGCAAGCAGAAAUGCAAGCCUACAAGUAGGAUUUAAAAGUUUGAUGUCUCUUUCUCCCCAGAACAGAGAAUCCUAUUUCUCAGUAACUGCUUUAUGCACAAGGUGGGCACCAUUUGAAAAUUUGUCUUUGCUCAAGGGCUCUGUUUCCCACUUUCAGGAUAGUAAUCCUGGAAAUUAUCAAGUAAUCCUGAAAGGAGACCAUGUAAAUCAUUGCUUUCUUCCAGCUCAGUUGUAGCCAAAGUCUUCAGUGGGUCACUUUGGAUCUUACAGUCUUACAGAAUACACUUGAAUAUAGAUAAAAGUGUUAAUUAAUGCUACUGCUAUGUUUUUUGCUGUUCACAUAGAUUACACAAUGACUUUGCGAUCAUUCCUGUUGCCCUUCUAAAAAUUUUUUAUGGCAGUAGUGACAGACAACUGCAGAAUUUACUUAUCCUAGCCUGGAAGAAAGCUGUCUUUCAGAAUGUGAAACUUGGGGGAGAUAUUUUCACUCAGCUGGAAACUUUAUGGGGUAGAUUUCAUCCAUGGUCCAGAAGUAAAUGUCAGCUCCCGUGAGAUUUCAGAACUUGAUUUGUGUUCAGCCCCAGGAGUCAGGUGAUGAACCAGAACUUCAAACUCAGAAACCAAACACCUUGUGCUUCUGAGAGGUUGGAUUUGUUUUUAUUUCUCUUUCUUUUUUUUUUUUUUUUUGCUUUUUUCUUUAAUUUUGAUGGAUGAUGUUUUGUUCUGCAGUGAGUUUUAAUGUGUGUUGCUGUGAAACAAUUUCAAUUGUCGAAAACAACAACAAAAAGCAGUAUUUCAAUAUUUCUCAAGAAAAGGCUUCAAAGGUUUCAGAUCUUUUUAAAAUGUUUCUGCUUUAUUUUGACGUGGCAUAAAAGUUUUGUAUGCAUUCUCGCAUCUGCUAUUGUGACAGCUGUAUUUAAUGAGUGCAAAAUGAUCAGAAAAACAUCCUUUACUGUGGGUUGCCAUUGCCAGAAGAUGACAGGAAAGAGGCAGUGCUGUAAUAAGAGAAGUGAUGAAGUAGUUCGUACUGCUACUGAUGAGGUAUUUCUAACUCAAAUGCCUAGGUGUGCCUUUUGAAAAUAAUGCAUUGGUCACAUUGCCUGAUAGUUCCAUCAGAUUAUGUUUCUGAGAGCAUUUUGAAAUAAAAUUGUGCAUCUCUAGCCUCAGGUCACGAAGUGGUUGGUUGUCACAUAUUAUUUGUGGAUAACAUAGUCGGUUUCCCUAAGAUGAAGAAGAAAAGGUCCUGAUCUUGUCCAUAAAUAUGGGCCUUUCCAUCAAACUGAUGCUGAAUAGAUCCACAGAUAUGUUAGAAAGGAAACAUUACACAAUAUGCCUGCUGUCUAUUACAUAUGCAUAUUCAAUAUCAGAGUAUUUUAGUCCAAAUUGGAGAGAGUGUAAAAAUAAAUCUAAAUGGAUUUGAAAGGCAGG